rnacentral:rRNA from 1 species
AUUGAACGCUGGCGGCAUGCCUUACACAUGCAAGUCGAACGGCAGCACGGGAGCAAUCCUGGUGGCGAGUGGCGAACGGGUGAGUAAUGUAUCGGAACGUACCUUUCAGUGGGGGAUAACGUAGCGAAAGUUACGCUAAUACCGCAUAUUCUGUGAGCAGGAAAGCAGGGGAUCGCAAGACCUUGCGCUGAUUGAGCGGCCGAUAUCAGAUUAGCUAGUUGGUGAGGUAAAGGCUCACCAAGGCGACGAUCUGUAGCGGGUCUGAGAGGAUGAUCCGCCACACUGGAACUGAGACACGGUCCAGACUCCUACGGGAGGCAGCAGUGGGGAAUUUUGGACAAUGGGGGCAACCCUGAUCCAGCCAUUCCGCGUGAGUGAAGAAGGCCU